ACUCAAAUGAAUUGACGGGGGCCCGCACAAGCGGCGGAGCAUGCGGAUUAAUUCGAUGCAACGCGAAGAACCUUACCAAGGCUUGACAUACUUGAGAAGCCACCAGAGAUGGUGGUCUCUUUGGACACUCAUGUACAGGUGGUGCAUGGUUGUCGUCAGCUCGUGUCGUGAGAUGUUGGGUUAAGUCCCGCAACGAGCGCAACCCUCGUCCUAUGUUGCCAGCACGUGAUGGUGGGGACUCAUAGGAGACUGCCGGGGUCAACUCGGAGGAAGGUGGGGAUGACGUCAAAUCAUCAUGCCCCUUAUGUCUUGGGCUUCACGCAUGCUACAAUGGCCGGUACAAAGGGCUGCGAUACCGUGAGGUGGAGCGAAUCCCAGAAAGCCGGUCUCAGUUCGGAUUGGGGUCUGCAACUCGACCCCAUGAAGUUGGAGUCGCUAGUAAUCGCAGAUCAGCAUUGCUGCGGUGAAUACGUUCUCGGGCCUUGUACACACCGCCCGU
rnacentral:rRNA from 1 species